AUACGUAGGUGGCAAGCGUUGUCCGGAUUUAUUGGGCGUAAAGCGAGCGCAGGCGGUUUUUUAAGUCUGAUGUGAAAGCCUUCGGCUCAACCGAAGAAGUGCAUCGGAAACUGGGAAACUUGAGUGCAAAGAGGACAGUGGACGUACCCAUGUGUAGCGGUGAAAUGCGUAGAUAUAUGGAAGAACACCAGUGGCGAAGGCGGCUGUCUGGUCUGUAACUGACGCUGAGGCUCGAAAGUAUGGGUAGC
rnacentral:rRNA from 1 species